CUCUCUGGAGAUUCUGAACAAAAGUCAGGAGCCGAAGGUGCAACAUAACCAUCUGGUUAUGAAUCUCUCAGGCAAAAGGACGGAGAUGA
rnacentral:ncRNA from 1 species